rnacentral:rRNA from 1 species
AGAGUUUGAUCCUGGCUCAGGAUGAACGCUGGCGGCGUGCCUAACACAUGCAAGUCGAGCGGGAUUUUGUUAAAUGAAGCUUCGGUAGAUUUUAACAAAUGAGAGCGGCGGACGGGUGAGUAACGCGUAGGCAACCUGCCCUUUGCAGAGGGAUAGCCAUUGGAAACGAUGAUUAAAACCUCAUAACACCAAGAGAAGACAUCUUCAUUUGGUCAAAGAUUUAUCGGCAAAGGAUGGGCCUGCGUCUGAUUAGCUAGAUGGUGAGGUAACGGCUCACCAUGGCGACGAUACAUAGGGGGACUGAGAGGUUAACCCCCCACAUUGGUACUGAGACACGGACCAAACUCCUACGGGAGGCAGCAGUGAGGAAUAUUGGUCAAUGGACGCAAGUCUGAACCAGCCAUGCCGCGUGCAGGAUGACGGCUCUAUGAGUUGUAAACUGCUUUUGUACAAGGGUAAACCUCGGUACGCGUACCGAGCUGAAAGUACUGUACGAAUAAGGAUCGGCUAACUCCGUGCCAGCAGCCGCGGUAAUACGGAGGAUCCAAGCGUUAUCCGGAUUUAUUGGGUUUAAAGGGUGCGUAGGCGGAAUAGUAAGUUAGAGGUGAAAGCUCGGGGCUCAACUCCGGAACUGCCUCUGAUACUGCUAAUCUAGAGAGUAGAUGCGGUAGGCGGAAUGUAUGGUGUAGCGGUGAAGUGCUUAGAGAUCAUACAGAACACCGAUUGCGAAGGCAGCUUACCAAACUAUAUCUGACGUUGAGGCACGAAAGCGUGGGGAGCAAACAGGCUUAGAUACCCUGGUAGUCCACGCAGUAAACGAUGAUAGCUCGUUAUCGGCGAUACACAGUCGGUGACUUAGAGAAAUCGAUAAGCUAUCCACCUGGGGAGUACGUUCGCAAGAAUGAAACUCAAAGGAAUUGACGGGGGCCCGCACAAGCGGAGGAACAUGUGGUUUAAUUCGAUGAUACGCGAGGAACCUUACCCGGGCUUGAAAGUUAGUGACGGACUUGGAAACAGGUCUUCCCUUCGGGGCACGAAACUAGGUGCUGCAUGGUUGUCGUCAGCUCGUGCCGUGUGGUGUCGGGUUAAGUCCCAUAACGAGCGCAACCCCUGCUGAUAGUUGCCAUCAGGUUAAGCUGGGCACUCUAUCGGGACUGCCUCUGUAAGGAGGAGGAGGGUGGGGAUGACGUCAAAUCAGCACGGCCCUUACGUCCGGGGCGACACACGUGUUACAAUGGUAGGUACAGAGGGCAGCCACCCAGCGAUGGGGAGCAAAUCUCGAAAGCCUAUCUCAGUUCGGAUUGGAGGCUGAAACUCGCCUCCAUGAAGUUGGAUUCGCUAGUAAUCGCGCAUCAGCCAUGGCGCGGUGAAUACGUUCCCGGGCCUUGCACUCACCGCCCGUCAAG